CAGCACUCCACGCUGUCCAGAAAGUUUGUGGAGGUCAUGUCGGAGUACAACGCCACGCAGUCCGACUACCGCGAGCGCUGCAAGGGCCGCAUCCAAAGGCAACUGGAGAUCACCGGCAGGACCACGACCAGUGAGGAGCUGGAGGACAUGCUGGAGAGUGGGAACCCCGCCAUCUUUGCCUCUGGGAUCAUCAUGGACUCCAGCAUCUCCAAGCAGGCUCUGAGCGAGAUUGAGACGCGACACAGUGAGAUCAUCAAGCUGGAGAACAGCAUCCGUGAGCUACACGACAUGUUCAUGGACAUGGCCAUGCUCGUGGAGAGCCAGCCUCAGGGUGCUUUCCUGAAGUCCUGCCCUGAGCCCCAACCCAACCCUGAGGAGGGGGCCCUCUGGAGCUCGGGUGCCCCCGGCCCCGCAGGGAGAGAUGAUUGACAGGAUCGAGUACAAUGUGGAACACGCGGUAGACUAUGUGGAGAGGGCUGUGUCUGACACCAAGAAGGCCGUCAAGUACCAGAGCAAGGCGCGCCGGAAGAAAAUUAUGAUCAUCAUCUGCUGUGUGAUCCUGGGCAUCGUCAUCGCCUCCACUGUUGGGGGCAUCUUCGCCUAGAAGCCACCCAAACUGCCACUCCACUCCAGGUGGGCCACUCCAAGGAGGCCCUGGCUGCUGCCACCUGGCUGGGCUGCCCUCCCAACCCCCGCCUCUGGCUCAGAGCACCCUCCCUCCCAG
rnacentral:sRNA from 1 species